UACGUAGGGGGCAAGCGUUGUCCGGAUUUAUUGGGCGUAAAGAGCGUGUAGGCGGCUGGGUAGGUCCGUUGUGAAAACUCGAGGCUCAACCUCGAGACGUCGGUUGAAACCGUAUGGCUAGAGUCCGGAAGAGGAGAGUGGAAUUCCCGGUGUAGCGGUGAAAUGCGCAGAUAUCGGGAAGAACACCCGUGGCGAAGGCGGCUCUCUGGGACGGUACUGACGCUGAGACGCGAAAGCGUGGGGAGCGAACAGG
rnacentral:rRNA from 1 species